ACCCGCGUACAUGCCACCGGGGCAUCCCGGAGGCAGGAAAGGCUUCGGCCGGACAGGGAUGGGCAUGCGGCGCAUUAGGCAGUAGGCGGGGUAACGGCCCACCUAACCGACGAUGCGUAGGGGUUCUGAGAGGAAGGUCCCCCACACUGGUACUGAGACACGGACCAGACUCCUACGGGAGGCAGCAGUGAGGAAUAUUGGUCAAUGGUCGGGAGACUGAACCAGCCAAGCCGCGUGAGGGAUGAAGGUACAGAGUAUCGUAAACCUCUUUUGUCAGGGAACAAAGGCGGGGACGUGUCCCCGGAUGAGUGUACCUGAAGAAAAAGCAUCGGCUAACUCCGUGCCAGCAGCCGCGGUAAUACGGAGGAUGCGAGCGUUAUCCGGAUUUAUUGGGUUUAAAGGGUGCGCAGGCGGUCUGUUAAGUCAGCGGUCAAAGCCCGGGGCUCAACCCCGGCCCGCCGUUGAAACUGGCUGUCUCGAGUUGGAGAGAAGUAUGCGGAAUGCGCGGUGUAGCGGUGAAAUGCAUAGAUAUCGCGCAGAACUCCGAUUGCGAAGGCAGCAUGCCGGCUCCACACUGACGCUGAGGCACGAAAGCGUGGGUAUCGAACAGGAUUAGAUACCCUGGUAGUCCACGCAGUAAACGAU
rnacentral:rRNA from 1 species